CACACACUUGUCCUACGGCUGAUAGACUCCUUCAUUUGUGCAUCCCACACACGAUGAACGGUAAGACGGCCACGACCCUCCAGGAGCUACGGUCCAGGUGGACAGACAGUCAUGUGAGCUCGUGAUUACAGCAGAAGACAUUUGAUGGCGUGUUCAUACUCAGGAGGCUCAGCAUUCAGUUCUGAUUCCAAGACAUCCCAGAAGGCCUGAUGGACAAUGUGCCUCACUCGACCGGCCAAGCUAUGGGAAUGAAAUGAAUCACUUUUUUUUACAUAAGCACUAUUUUUCCUAAUUAUAAAAGAAAUAUGCACAUUGUAGAAAUCUUAGGAAAUGCAGAAAAACAGAAUAAAAACUGCUCAAUCUUUUGACAUA